GUUUACUUCCCUCCAAACUCCCAACUUUGACACUAUGCAAAAAGAAGAUUCCCCAUCACAUCAAACUUGCGGUACAUGCAUGGAGUACUAAAUAUAGACGAAAUCAAAAACUAAUUGCACAAUUUUGUUGUACUUUGCGAGACGAAUCUUUUGAGCUUAAUUAGUCAAUAUUUGGACAAUAAUUCACAAAUACAAACGAAACGCUACAAUGUCAUAUUUAUGGCAAAAUGCCAAUUUGACACCUCCCAACUUGAGAAGUAAACAAGGACCUGGAUGCGGUGAGCCUGGGUCUGGCUCAGCCCCAUACAUGACACCAAGGCCAUGUUUAGUUACUCCCAACUCCCAACUUUGACACUAUGCAAAAAGAAGAUUCCCCAUCACAUCAAACUUGCGGUACAUGCAUGGAGUACUAAAUGUAGAUGAAAUUAAAAACUAAUUGCACAGUUUUGUUGUACUUUGCGAGACGAAUCUUUUGAGCCUAAUUAGUCAAUAUUUGGACAAUAAUUCACAAAUACAAACGAAACGCUACAGUGUGCUACAGUGCUGUAACAGUAAUUUAGCACCCCCAAAUUCGCC
rnacentral:lncRNA from 1 species